UUGGGUUGGCCAAAAAGUUUGUUUGAGUUUUUCUGUAGUAGCUUACAAUCCAAACAAACGUUUUAGCCAACUCAGU
rnacentral:miRNA from 1 species